rnacentral:rRNA from 1 species
UACGUAGGGUGCGAGCGUUAAUCGGAAUUACUGGGCGUAAAGCGUGCGCAGGCGGUUCGUUGUGUCGGCGGUGAAAGCCCCGGGCUCAACCUGGGAAUGGCCGUUGAAACUGGCGAACUGGAGUGUGGCAGAGGGGGGUGGAAUUCCGCGUGUAGCAGUGAAAUGCGUAGAGAUGCGGAGGAACACCGAUGGCGAAGGCAGCCCCCUGGGCUGACACUGACGCUCAGGCACGAAAGCGUGGGGAGCGAACCGG